GUCCUUAGUUACCAGCACGUUAUGGUGGGCACUCUAAGGAGACUGCCGGUGACAAACCGGAGGAAGGUGGGGAUGACGUCAAGUCAUCAUGGCCCUUACGGCCUGGGCUACACACGUGCUACAAUGGUCGGUACAAAGGGUUGCCAAGCCGCGAGGUGGAGCUAAUCCCAUAAAACCGAUCGUAGUCCGGAUCGCAGUCUGCAACUCGACUGCGCGAAGUCGGAAUCGCUAGUAAUCGUGAAUCAGAAUGUCACGGUGAAUACGUUCCCGGGCCUU
rnacentral:rRNA from 1 species